rnacentral:rRNA from 1 species
UGGGGAAUUGUUCGCAAUGGGCGAAAGCCUGACGACGCAACGCCGCGUGGAGGAUGAAGAAUUUCGGUUCGUAAACUCCUUUCGACCGAGAUGAACACCCCGCAAUUUAAUACGUUGUGGGACUGACAGUAUCGAGAGAAGAAGCCCCGGCUAACUCUGUGCCAGCAGCCGCGGUAAUACAGGGGGGGCAAGCGUUGUUCGGAAUUACUGGGCGUAAAGGGUUCGUAGGUGGCCAACUAAGUCAGAUGUGAAAUCCCUCAGCUUAACUGGGGAACUGCUUCUGAUACUGGUUGGCUUGAGUGCAGGAGAGGAAUGCGGAAUUCCAGGUGUAGCGGUGAAAUGCGUAGAUAUCUGGAGGAACACCGGUGGCGAAGGCGGCAUUCUGGACUGUAACUGACACUGAGGAACGAAAGCCAGGGGAGCAAACGGG